rnacentral:rRNA from 1 species
GACGAACGCUGGCGGCGUGCUUAACACAUGCAAGUCGAACGAUGAAGCUGGAGCUUGCUCUAGCGGAUUAGUGGCGAACGGGUGAGUAACACGUGAGCAAUCUGCCCUUGACUCUGGGAUAACUGCGGGAAACUGUAGCUAAUACCGGAUACUUUCACCGGGGGGCAUCCUCUGGUGAUGAAAGAAUUUCGGUCAAGGAUGAGCUCGCGGCCUAUCAGCUUGUUGGUGAGGUAACGGCUCACCAAGGCGACGACGGGUAACCGGCCUGAGAGGGUGUCCGGUCACACUGGGACUGAGACACGGCCCAGACUCCUACGGGAGGCAGCAGUGGGGAAUAUUGCACAAUGGGCGCAAGCCUGAUGCAGCAACGCCGCGUGAGGGAUGAAGGCCUUCGGGUUGUAAACCUCUUUUAGCAGGGAAGAAGCGAAAGUGACGGUACCUGCGGAAAAAGCACCGGCUAACUACGUGCCAGCCGCCGCAGUAA